AUUGAACGCUGGCGGCAGGCCUAACACAUGCAAGUCGAACGGUAGCACCGAGAGCUUGCUCUCGGGUGACGAGUGGCGGACGGGUGAGUAACGUCUGGGAAACUGCCCGAUGGAGGGGGAUAACUACUGGAAACGGUAGCUAAUACCGCAUAACGUCGCAAGACUAAAGUGGGGGAACUUCGGGCCUCACACCAUCGGAUGUGCCCAGAUGGGAUUAGCUAGUAGGUGGGGUAAUGGCUCACCUAGGCGACGAUCCCUAGCUGGUCUGAGAGGGUGACCAGCCACACGGGAACGGAGACACGGGCCAGACUCCUACGGGAGGCAGCAGUGGGGAAUAUUGCACAAUGGGCGCAAGCCUGAUGCAGCCAUGCCGCGUGUAGGAAGAAGGCCUUCGGGUUGUAAAGUACUUUCAGCGGGGAGGAAGGCGGUGAAGUUAAUAACUUCACCGAUUGACGUUACCCGCAGAAGAAGCACCGGCUAACUCCGUGCCAGCCGCCGCCGUAA
rnacentral:rRNA from 1 species